ACCUGUCUCAACUUUAUAUAUUGAACUUAACUUUUAAGUGAAAAGGCUUAAAUAUACUUGAAGGACGACAAGACCCUAUAAAACUUUACAUACCGUCUGAGUGACUUCUUAAUUAUUUGUAUAAAAUUAUUCACUCUUACAUGUGUUUCGUUGGGGCAACGAAAGUAUAAUCCAUAACUGCUUUCUAAUUAAACAAUAAUAUUUGAAAUAAUUGACCCUUUUUUAAGAUUAUAAGAAAAAGUUACUUUAGGGAUAACAGCGUAAUUUUUUUUGAGAGUCCUUAUCGACAAAAAAGUUUGCGACCUCGAUGUUGAAUUAAAUUUUUCCUUAUAGUGCAGAAAUUAUAAAGGUAGGUCUGUUCGACCUUUAAAAAUUUACGUGAUCUGAGUUCACACCGGA
rnacentral:rRNA from 1 species